GAGCCCAAUGUGAGGCUCUAACCCACAAACUGUGAGAUCAUGACCUGAGCCAAAGUCAGAUGCUUAACCAACUGAGUCACCCAGGCACCCCAGUUUAUUUUUUAAAUUACAGAUAAUUUUACUAAACAUACUCUAAGUCUGCUCAAACAGAACAGAAAGUUGAAAAGCAAAUUUGAGGAUCCCAAAGCACCAGACAAGAAUAGAAUUUUAAAAGGUUUAUUUUUGUCUAUGCUUCAUCCUCUGUUUAAAUCCCACAAACCACAUAUACAUCAAGCACUGUGUUGAGCAGCAAUGAAUUCAUAUAUAAUCUUAGGUGAAAAAUCUUCUAAACAUUUAACAGUUGGCAAUUCUCAGUUCUCUUUGGUGUUCAGGUUCAGUGUUUGGUAUUUCUUUGUGUGUUUAUAUGGUGUUCAGUAAAUGUAUGUAUAUGUAAAAUAUACAUGUGUGUCUUUCCUUCAAUCCUAUUGUCUAAGGAGUAAGAAUGGCUGAUUUUCAUGUUUCUUUUAAUAAGGUUUUAAUAAAGUUUCAAAUUUGGAGUGCCUCAGAUAUUGAAAUGUAGUGGCGUAGUGAAAAUUACUCUUCCAACAGUCCAGAAGAAGCCAUUUCACCAGCAACUUUUGGAGUCUUCAUUUUUAGGAUCUUUGUUUUCCAUUGGUAUGCAGGACAUUUGUAUUCUUCUCACAACCUCACGUAAUUCCUAGCCCUUCUCUUCUGUACCACCAAGCUGAGAAAUGUUGGCAGUCCAGAAUCGUUAGGGCGAACUCCACAGCUGCUGUCAUAUCCCUUGCCUCUAUAAUUUCCCCUGAUUGAUAUAUUUGUGCUCAGAAUGGAUAAUCCAUCAUUUAAAAAGGUUAAUAUAAAAUGCUCACAAUGGCAGUUUUCUUUGUUUUUGGUUUAAUUCUAUCUUCUCCCACUCUCCCUUAUUUUGUUCUGUUCAAGAUUGGGCUUACUUACCCCUCUCUAAAGAGCACAGUUGGAAGUGUUUGCCUGUUGCCCAUCAAACACAAUAUGGUUGUAGCAGAAACAAAGGACAUUCAGCAGCAAGGAUGAUUGGGACAGAAACACAAAGAUGAAACUAAUAAAUCGCGACUAAGAAUGACAGAACAGAAUGAGACCUUUUUCUGGAUUGACUGGGAUUUAUCGUCAAGAACUUAGAAUACCCUCUAGCAUCUUUUUCAUCCUCCAGCAUGAAAAUCGCCACUCCUUGUGCAUUUGUUAAUAACUUCAGCAAACUAUUAUCAUGAAGCACUCUCUUGUAUCAGGAACUGUGGAAUGUGCUUCGGGACAAAGAAAAAGAUAAAUAAGAUAUGUUUCUACCUUUGAGGAGGACAAAUUAAUGGGAAACGGUAGACAGAAAUAAUCACAAUACAAUUAUACAAAUGCAAUGGAAUUGUAGUUAACUACAAGAACAUUGCACCAAGCAUAAUGAACUCUGCCCAAAAAAGUCAGGGAAAUCAUCAGAAAAGAGAUGGUUAUCGAGCUUGGCUUUAAAAAGAAGGGAGAAUGGAGUGCCUGGGUGGCUCAGUAGGUUAAGCAACCCACUCUUGAUUCUGAAACAGGGCAUGAUCUCACAGUUUGUGGGUUUGAGCCACCGUCGUCAGUUUCCACGAUGAUAGCGCAGAACCUACUUGGGAUUCUCUCUCCCUCGUCUGCCCCUCCCCUGCUUGUGCUUGUGUUUGUUCAAGUUCUCUCCCAAAAAUAAAUAAAUAAACACUAAUAAUAAUAAUAAUAAUAAUAAUAAGGUAGAAUGACACUGCAAGUAGAAACUGUUGGUCCCAGACUGCUAAGGUUAAGAAUGGCUAGAAUGCGGGUUGUGGGAAGAUUGCCCAAAGGAGCUUUGCACUGCUCGGAUAUUUCGACUUAACUGUUAACUCAAGGGUUUUGGAGCAAGGAUCAAUUUUUCACUUUCCAGAAACAGUUCUAAAAGUGGAAGGAGAAGAAGAGACAGGAGGAAUGAGGGACUGCUGGGAAGCAGGUGUUAGAGGAGUGAUUCUUUUUCCAACGUUGCCAUUCAUUCAAUAAAGUGUUCUCACGUUUGUCAAUCGAAGACAUUAGAGCCUUACUGAAAAAGCAGGAUUGUCAUAUUUAAUGCCCAAGCCUGUCAUGAAAGAAUUAUUUACCUUCUCUAAAAUUCAAAUCUUAGGGUAACAUGUAUAUCUGUGAAGAACCGUUAAUGGAUAUCUGUCAAUUAUUCUUAGAUAGCAACCCCUGGAAGGAAGGAGCAUCACACAGAUCUUGUUUUACUACCUAAUGGCUCCCUCAGGUAGUAUCUGAUAUUCUCUAGGAUGAUCCAAAAAAUUGUUUUCAGAUUCUUCCCAAAACUUUCUCAAGGAUCUCAAGAGAUCCGCUGCAGGUUUAAAUCAUUCUCACCCUCCAUCUGUUCUCUAUUCUCCCCCCUCUCUCAUCUCCUGUGACUUCUCUGUCCUUUUACAGAUUCUGGAGGUUCUCCAGCUUUCUGGUUUGUUUUCCUUUGGGAGCUCUUGAUUGUGCUGAGCAGUAAGGCUUGAAUAAAUGCAGCAUCCACGGGGUAAAAUAUGUUCUUCUUCCCAUAUACCUUUGCUCUGUCUUCAUAUCUGUAGGCCAGAAAAUACAACAAAUAGUGAAGGUUUCACUAGAGACUUCUGAUAAGUGACUAAGCAUUACUCUAUAAAAUCUCAAAUGCUCCAUAUUUUCUCUGCUUCUUCCCAUCUGCCAAAAUCUGUUAUAAGAUUCUUUGAAAUUUCCCUGGGGUUGUGCUUUAUGCAUGCUCUGAAGAAGGAGAUUUGUACCUCCAAAAUGUAUCCAAAGGUCAACUUCAUUCUUCUGGGCUCCUGGACAAGGCAGGUCGUGUGUCGCCUCUCUGCCUCUGGUCCUUGGUGCUGUUCACCAUAUUCCUGAGAGCAAAUCCUGAUUCAAACAAACAGCUAAGUGAUGUUGCAGCCAUAUCGUUGAUGAAAGUUUUCCAAAUUGGUCUUCUGUUUUCACACUACGUUGUUUACUGUAUUUAUUUCUUUUUGUGUUUCUUUGAUUUUUCUGAACUUAGGGAACAGCACAAUCCUGUUUGCUGGAGAACUAAGUUCAAGCAGAAAGCUGUAGAAUUUAAUCAUGCUAGUUUACAUCUUCCCUUCUUUUUAAAUUAUUAUUUUUCUUACCAAUAUUUCACAUGAACAUGAUUAUGAAAGUCAGUUCUACCAGGACUGAAAUGAUAAAACAGCAGUUCCCUGCCCCAAAACCUUCCAAAGCCUCUUUGCCAUUUGUUGGAGGAAACCACAUUCACUGUUUUCAUUUACCUUCAUAUUUCUGAAUAACAUGCUUGUACUCUUAAAUCUUGAUUUUUUUUUCAUUUUCAGAUAUUGUCUAUUGAUUUUCUCCUUUAUAAGAUGAGGAUUCAGAUCUCUAGGGUCUUUCUGCUCACCUCCCACAAUUAUCUUAUAAUUUUUGUUUAAGUCCAUUUUCAAGUUUAUUAUCAUUGUAUAAAUAUCCUUACUGAGCCAUGUAGAAUACUAUUGCCGUGUUUUUUCAUAUAAUUUUUAUCAUCUAAUUUUUUACGGCUUAGUAUUCCAUAUAUUUAACACUAAUUCAUCACCAAACUGCCAGAUGGGUAAAAUCCCCUCCCAAUACGGUUUUAAUUUCUUCUUGGAAAUCUCCUCCUGGAGCAUUCAGCUUUCUUUUAUAGACAGAAAUUAUUAUUCUACCAACUUUUUCUUACAUCUUGAUCACAGAUCUAUGUUCACCACCAUCCCUUUAUCUCUCCUUUGUAUAGAAUCUCUAAUUCCUGGACUCAUGGAUUUGAGUUUUCACAGAUUACCUCCUAUUUUUGGUGAAGCCAUUCUUCAGGUGCUUCCUGAGAAAUGAAUACAAGAUAAUUUUUUUUUAACUCCUGUGUUUGAAAUGCUUUACUCUCUGCUCGUUUAUUGUUGCUAUUUCAUUAGAAAUAGAAUUUUAGGUUGGAAAACAUUCUCAAUCAAAAUUUAAAGCCAUUGCUCUUUCUUUCUAGCUUGCAUUGUUGUUAUGAAGCACCCUGUCAUUCAUGUUCUCAGUUUAUUUUGUGAGAUCCGUUUUCCUCUGUAGAAUGGCACAAUUUUCUUUUUGCCAACAGUUAAAAAAAUUCCUUCUUAAUCUAGAAAUGCAUGUCCUUCAGUUUGAGACAUUUAUAUAUUUGAUAAAUUCCUACCCCUCUUGUAAUUUUCCAGAGCUCCUAAUAUUCAUGGUUUAAUAUUUUCUUUCCUGUUACACAGAGCCUUAUUUUUUAUUGCAUUUCUGGAGAGUUUCUUCAGCUUAUCUUGAAACCCUAUCAUUGAGGAUCACAGGACUAAGUGCCAGUGCCCUGUGAAAACUCCUCUGUCCUGCCCUUAGAUAGAAGAAAGAUGGCCUUCCCCCUCCUCCUUUCCUGUCAGUAUUUGGACAGAGCUAAGUAAUUUUAAAUUAAGAGGAUGAAUGUAAUACCCCAAGGAUGGCAAAGCAAUAAAUUAGAACAAGUCUGGGCUCCUGGUAAGUUCAUGGACAGAGGCACCAUAUCAACUCAGUCUUUUACAUGAGAGAGAAAUUUAUUUCUCACUUAAGUCAUAGUAAACUUGCCUAGGCUUAGUGCUUUCAUGGUAUAAUCUUUUUCUACCCUUUUAAUUUUAGCUUAUCUACAUCUUCACAGUAAAAAUUAAUUUCUUAUAAAAAGCAAGUUGUUUGGUCUUGCUUUUACAGUCAGUCUAUCAAUUGGCUUUAUAUUGAAAUUUAAAAAUUAAAUUAAAAUUAAUCAAUUGAAGAAAAAUAUGGCCGCCAUGGCUAUGUUAAUAUCAGAUAAAGUAAAUUUCAAGCGUUUUCUCAGAGUGUUAUUAGAGACAAAAAAUCUAUUUCAUAAUGAUAAAAGAUCAAUUCACCAGAAAGAGGUAACAAUAAUAAAUGGAUGUGCACUUAAAAACAAAGCUUUAAAACACAUGAAGUAAAAUUUGGCAGAACUAAACAGACAAAUCCACAAACAUAAUUGGCUCUUUAAUACCUCUCUCUCAGAAAUUAAUAGAACACACAGACAAAAAUCAGUAAACAUUUAAAUUUAAACAUUGUUGUUCAAUUUGCUAUAAUUCUUCUUAACUAUGCAGGAAAUAUUCAUCAGAAUAGACCCUAUGCUGAGCCAGAAAGCAAAUCUCAGUAAAUUUUAAAGGAUUAAAAUCAUGCACGCUAUGAUAUCUAACCACAACUAGAUAUCAGUAACAAGAAGAUAUCUAGAAUAUUUACAUCUACUUGAAAUUAAAUUACUCAUUCCUAAAUAAUGCAUUGGUCAAAAGCAUUUCAAAGAAAAUAACAAAAAAAAAUUUAACUGAGUGAUAAUGAAAUUGCAAUUUAUCAAAUUUGUGAGACACAGAAUACUUCCUAGAAAUAAAUUUAUAGCUUUAAAUGAUUAUAAUAGAAAUGAAAGAUAUACAAUUAAUUAUCUAAGCUCUCACCUAAGAUGUGAUAACAAAAACAGGGAUGCCUGGGUGGCUCAGUUGGUUGAGCAUCCGACUUUGGCUCAGGUCACCUCUCAUGGUUCCUUAGUUUGAACCCUGUAUUGGGCUCUCUGGUAUCAGCCCAAAGCCCGCUUUUGAUCCUUUGUCCCCACCCCCCCACCCCCCCCCGUGUUCCUCCCACACUCAUGCUCUCUCUCAAAAGUAAAUAAAUAUUAAGAUGAAGUAAUAUACAGAAAUGGGGGACAGAUUAAUGGUUGCCAAAAGUUAAGGAGGGAAUGGGAAGCCAAAGAACAUAGGUGUAUCUAUAAAAGAGCAAUGUGAGGGCUAAUUGUAAUGACAAUACUCAGUAUCUUGAGGUAUUAAUGUCAGUAUCCUAGUUGUGAUAUUGUACUAUAAUUUUGUAAGAUGUUACCUUUGCAAGAAACUGAGUACAGGUACAGGCAUACUUCGAAGAUAUUGCAGGUUUGGUUCCAGAUACCACAAUAAAGCGAGUAUCACAAUAAAGCAAAUCAAAUAAAAUUUUCAGUUUUCUAGUGCAUAGAAAAGUUAUGUUUACACAAUACUGUAGUCUAUUAGGUGCAAUAGCAUCAUGUUCAAAAGAACAAUGUAUGCCAAUUAACAAAUUUGUCAUUGCUAAAGAAGGCUGAGCAUCAUGUAAGCUUUCAGCAAGUCGUAAUCACUGACACAGAUCACGGUAACAAAUAUAGUAGUAAUGAAAAAAGUUCGAAAUAUUUUAAGAAUUACAAAAAUGUGACAGAGACAUGAAAUGAGCAAAUGCUGUUGGAAAAAUGAUGCCUCUGACUUGCUCGAUGCACGGUUUCCACAAACUUUCAAUUUGUAAAAAAUGCACUAUGGGUGAAGUACAAUAAAACAAAGUGCAGUAGAAGGAGGUAUGCCUGUACCUGGACUCUCUCUGCAUUCUUUCUUACAACUGCAUGUGGAUUUACAAAUAUUUCAAAAUAAAAGUGUAGUUUAAAAAAAUCCUAUGCAAUACCUUUUUUUAACUUAGAUGUCAUUAUAGUUGGGUUUUGAAUUCUGGGAACCAAAGUGCCUCUCCCAAAAUUAAGUCAUACUAUAAAGUAUGGUUUUUUUACAUCUUUUCUUUCAACUGAGAAAAACAGUACACAUUUAGAAAAAAUGCAUAAAACAAAUUUGUAGUUAAAUAACUAUAAUGUGAACAUCCAUAUACUACCAGCUGGUUUAAGAAAUAGACCUUUUCCAGCACCCCAGAAACUGCCCAUAGCCACUCUUUGGAUUACUAUUGCUUUGUUUUCCCUAGUGAUAACCACCACCUUGACUUUUUAUGAUACACAUUUCCUUUUGUUUUUUGCUCAAUACAUGUAUCUCUUGUUAUAUGUCACUACAGAAUAUAAUUUUGUUUAGUCUGAUUUAAAGUUUAUGAUUGGAAUCUCAUGUAGAUGUAUAAUUUUCAGUCUUGUUUUGUGGGAGUUAAUAUUAUUUAUGUAAGAUUCCUCUAUAUUAUUUUAUAUCCUGUAAGUUUAUUUUUAAUUUAAUUGCUUAUAGUAUUCCAUCAUACAUAAAAUAACACAUUUGAAUUUGUUCCAUGGCUGAUGGACAUUUAGGUUGCCUUCCAUUUGGAACUGGUACAAAUAGAGUUGCUUUGAACACUGUACAUAAUUUUAACAUGUAUGUAUGCAUUUCUAUUAGGUAUUUACCUGUUGGUAGGACUGUUUGUUCUUAUGUUCCUUGUACCUUCAACUUUGGUAAAUAAUGCCAAAUUACUUUCAAAUGUAGUUCUACCUCUGUAUACUCCCACCAGUAGUGGGAGAAAUUCAUUGAUCCAUAUCCUCAUCAGCACAUGAUAUUGUCAGUUUGUUUUUUUUUAAACCUUUGCCAAUCAAGUAGGUACAUAGUAUACCACUGAGACCUUGGUUUGGGAAGAAGUGGGAAGCACAUACAGGUCUCUGGGUUGCCUGAUGGCUGGAAUAUUUCCCCAUAACGAACUCCUGGUACAUUGUUUUUUCAGAUCUUCCUUGGGUAGUUUUGUGAAGCUCUGUUUUUGAAUAGGUUCUCCUCAUAAAUAUUUCCUUUGCUUACAUUCCUUUUACUGAAUGCAUGUUCUAUAGAUAAAUUGGUUGAAGGAAAAAAAAAAUGUUUGAUGAGGACGAUGUGUUCCUGAUUAUUCGCAAUCGUUUACUUCACGCCCAUCCUCCCGCUGUGUCUCCAAAACAUGGUAUACUACUGUAUCCAGGGAGCAGCAUUUAGAGCUGGGCCCAGAGAAGCACCUCACACAGGGCACAUCCUUCCGGAGCUGAGACUUCCUCUACCAUAGGUAAUGCAGGGAAGGACAGGUUUCCCCACCAAUAUCCGAAAGUAGGUCAUUUCUAUGAAAGAUUUUGUAAGUGGAAAUGUCAUAAAGCAAAGAAGCCACUACUAUCAAUUUAUGUGGGAAAUGUUUGAGCGUUCCCAGGCCCCCAAAAUAACCUCUCUUAGGGUUUUCUGAUAAUUUAGGACACAUCUAGCUAAUGAAUGUAUAAAAUAUACGGGGAUAAAACACAGAUGUUCACAGAUACAAGCUUUGGUGGCUUGAUGUUGAGAAGCUGUUGUCGCUUGGUGUGGGGGUGGGGCGCGAGGGGAAGAGCUUGGUGGUGCCCCUAUAGCCCUGUGCACACUGCCUCUAUAAGGGCUCACUGCAAAACAAAUGCUGAACACUAGUGUCGCUUUUCACCUCUCUUUGUGAAGGCAAAAAUCCUCUUCUCUCUUCGGACUUCUUUCCUUCGGAGAAAACUGGUACUAAGGCAGGCCUUUUACAAAAGUGAAGUGCUGUAAUGUGAACUUUUGAAAAGUGAAAGAUACCUGGACAUCAAUUUCAAAUCGUACCAUUUAGGCUUUAGUCUUCAGAAAGUUUGAGUUCAUAGAGGCAGUAUAAGAUGUUAGCCUUGCACUUAAUUUGGCCUGGCAGGUAUUAACUGUCUAUAAAUAUUUGAAAGCAACAUUUGCCUCAUGGAAACUGCACAAAGCAGACAACUUGCCUGAAGAGUCGGAGUUGACUAAGUGGAUAAUACCCCAGGACAAAUUUAACCCCAACCACAGAGUUACUAAGGGUGAAAAAUAAAAAAAGAUAUUUUGCUAGUUUCUAAAAUUUUCUACUGCUGAUCUCCAGAGGUCCAUUAACCCUUAAUGCAUAAAACAGAAGAUGUGGGUACAAAAUAUAAUAAUAAUUGCUUGGAAAGGCUUACUCCCCAAAGACAUUGUGCUAGUGAUCAAAUUGUCUACACAUAGUUCUACCUAAAAAUGAAAUCUCUUUUAGUGAUUACCAUUUUUCAAUUUUAUGUGUAUGUAUAUUAUAGUCAUCAUGUACCGUGGCAAUUUUGGAAAUUUCCAGGAAGAAAUAUGUCAUAGAAAAUAUGGCUCAUAAAAAGUGAUAGUCACAAAAACCACAAUUUAAAGAAAAUCAGUAUGUUAUUGGUAAUAAUAAUUUAGUUACACAGUAUCCAUAUUUUCCCUGUACUAUCAUUUAUUCUUGGCUAUAAAGCUAUUAAUGACUAUUAAUGAUACAAAUAUCCUUUCUUCCUGAAACCACAAAGUGUAAGUUCAAAUUCUUUAAAAUGUGGAACAAAUUAUUCCAUGAGUCUUAAAAACUCUGAUUUCCUUCUUUUCUGCAUCGUGUCCACUCCAUAACCUCUUGCUUGCAGGGAGAACCACUCAACUACAUUGAAGAUGUGUGUGUCUCUUCAGGUUAGUAAAAUGAAAGCAGAGUAACAAGGCAUUUCUUUUUGGCCUUUGAGGAAAGCCUGACUUUGUGGAUAGAUAGAGCUUUAUGAUGCGGUCACUCAACACCAAACUAUGGCUCAACUCAAUGACAAAAACAUUCGUAAAAUUGAUCUUUCUUGAUCAACUAAAUCUUUCAGUUGUUAACCUGAAAAUAAAGAGGUGUAAUGAGAGGCAAAUAAGCAUUUAUUUGGGAUCACAGAAUGGCCAUUUGGGGAGCACAGAUUCAGGUAGAAACCCAAAUACUGUCUCGCUCGUAGGGUGAAAGCAGGAAAUUUUUAUGAGGAAAAAGAAGGGGGCAAUUACAUGAGUUGAAAAUAAGACAAAGUUUUCUUUGGGUAUUAACAAGCUAAGCUACUCUGGUUUGUACAUGGAUUGACUACUGAUUCUAUCUUCAGAAAAUCCACAGCCAUGUCUUGUGAUAAAGAUAUCCAAUCUCCUGCUGACUUUGGCUUAAAACAAUUGUCCAAAGCUUUUGGGCCAGUUCAAAAGAAGAUUGUUAAGGGAGUAUCUCUGCAGAGGCCGCUCCAGCUCUACUUUAAAAUGGCUCUCGUCAUGUUAGUUUUUCACACAAUUAAGAAAAAACACAACAUAUUUAAGUAGUAUAUACAUACAGUUUAGGAUUGAGGUGAGGUAAAACCUCUACCUGACGCCAAGAAAUUGUAUGGUGAAGCAGCAUCAUGAUACUUACCAAGCCUAAUUUUGGGAGGCUACGGAGAUUUGAUUCAGUUUUAUUGCUGGUUUCGCUUCUGUGCAUGAUUUAGUAAUCCUUUAAUUGUCCAGUGGUUUUGUUUUAUUUUUGCAAGCUUCCAGUUUCCCUUUAAAAUGAUUUUCCUGAUGUCAACGUACACUAAAAAUCAUCUGAACACAUAUACAUAAUAUUCUAGAAUACAUAAAAGUGAUGAUGACAUAUUUCAGAUUAGUUGUUUAGAAGUGAGGAGGUUUUUCUAAGCUAGAAUAUAAAUGAUGGAGUUUAUAUAUAAAAAAUGUCUAAAUGUGUUUUUUAAUGAGGCAUUUCUGUAUUUCCCAUGGCAAUUUGAGAUAAUCACUGUGUACAAUCUUAUAAAACAAUUUUCCACAUUUAUUUUUAAUUAAACUUGAGUAGGCUGCAAAAUCUCUCAAUUUACCUUCAAAUGAGCACUAUUGAAUUCAUUUCUACCUCCCUUCCUCCACUGCCCCAGGCAGAGAAAUAAGGUGAGCAACAUUCUCAUUAGCUUUAAAUACAGAUGUUUGGACAGUUUACCUCUGGUACAACAAAAGUUAUCAACAUUUACCUCUGGUGUUGUGAUAAAGUCAUAUUUUAAGGAUUUUGCUUGAGUAGCAUAUAGCAGGUGAUUUUUCCCCUUCUUUAAAAUAAGAAUUGUAGAUACCUUACAGAAAUCACACAGAUUUUAUUGUGACAUUCUAGUCACCAUCAUAUUUAUUCAUCAAAUGUAUAGCAUAAGCCUAUCUUGUGAAUGGACUUGAUAAUGUUUUCUGUUUUUGGUGUUCCAAAUGGGAGAGGGGGCUAUUUCUUCAUUACAGACAUCUGAUCAUUUUUAUGGAAAUGGAAUAAUUAAGGGAAGAGUUGCUGUGAAUCAUGCUUAUGCCUCACAACUUUGUGUGUGUGUGUGUGUGUGUGUGCGUGUGUGUGUGAAAUGGAAGUAAAAGCUCAUUUUAUAGGUGAAAUAAAUGGUAUAGAGAAAUUGGAAGAUGGUGGCCAAUAGUUUGGAAACAGGAAGUCUGAAGAGAUGAGCUUCCACCAGGGGCCAUCCCUGUGGUCUCUCUGACUGCAGUUGGAAAACCCUCCUGUUUCUCCCCUAGUAAUUACUACCCCAAUUAACUUAACCCUUCUAGACUAAAUUCUGUGUAUUUCUUUAGGCUCUCUAAUGGUUCAGGAGAAAACUAAAGGCAGAAAGCACAGCUAUGGAGUUUUCAGCCCCCUGCACAGCCCAGAGAAUAUCACUGGCUCUCCCUGUGCCUUGUAAAACAAAAGGAGUGGACAUGACUAGACGCUGAGGCGGCGGCACCCUAGGACACAGUGAUAGGCAAGGAGCUGAGGAUGGUUCCCGUUGACUCCUUGAUGGUGGAAACAUACAGUGGAAGGAGCCUGAAUCCUGAAUUUACUGCUUGGAGGAAAGCCACCCAGAAGAAUCACUGACCAGGAACAUCCUCAGGAGACUCUGUGUGAAUAAAAAAUAAAUCUUUGUUGUACUAUG